GCCUGGGUGGCUCAGUCGGUUAAGCGUCCGACUUCGGCUCAGGUCAUGAUCUCACGGUCCGUGAGUUCGAGCCCCACCUCAGGCU
rnacentral:tRNA from 1 species